GGGUUGUGAGGUUAAGCGACUAAGCGUACACGGUGGAUGCCCUGGCAGUCAGAGGCGAUGAAGGACGUGCUAAUCUGCGAUAAGCGCCGGUAAGGUGAUAUGAACCGUUAUAACCGGCGAUUUCCGAAUGGGGAAACCCAGUGUGACUCGUCACACUAUCAUUAACUGAAUCCAUAGGUUAAUGAGGCGAACCGGGGGAACUGAAACAUCUAAGUACCCCGAGGAAAAGAAAUCAACCGAGAUUCCCCCAGUAGCGGCGAGCGAACGGGGAGGAGCCCAGAGCCUGAAUCAGCAUGUGUGUUAGUGGAAGCGUCUGGAAAGGCGCGCGAUACAGGGUGACAGCCCCGUACACAAAAGCGCAUAUGCUGUGAGCUCGAUGAGUAGGGCGGGACACGUGGUAUCCUGUCUGAAUAUGGGGGGACCAUCCUCCAAGGCUAAAUACUCCUGACUGACCGAUAGUGAACCAGUACCGUGAGGGAAAGGCGAAAAGAACCCCGGCGAGGGGAGUGAAAAAGAACCUGAAACCGUGUACGUACAAGCAGUGGGAGCACCCUUUUGGGUGUGACUGCGUACCUUUUGUAUAAUGGGUCAGCGACUUAUAUUCUGUAGCAAGGUUAACCGAAUAGGGGAGCCGGAGGGAAACCGAGUCUUAAUUGGGCGUUAAGUUGCAGGGUAUAGACCCGAAACCCGGUGAUCUAGCCAUGGGCAGGUUGAAGGUUGGGUAACACUAACUGGAGGACCGAACCGACUAAUGUUGAAAAAUUAGCGGAUGACCUGUGGCUGGGGUGAAAGGCCAAUCAAACCGGGAGAUAGCUGGUUCUCCCGAAAGCUAUUUAGGUAGCGCCUCGUGAAUUCAUCUCCGGGGUAGAGCACUGUUUCGGCUAGGGGGCCAUCCCGGCUUACCAACCCGAUGCAAACUGCGAAUACCGGAGAAUGUUAUCACGGGAGACACACGGCGGGUGCUAACGUCCGUCGUGAAGAGGGAAACAACCCAGACCGCCAGCUAAGGUCCCAAAGUCAUGGUUAAGUGGGAAACGAUGUGGGAAGGCCCAGACAGCCAGGAUGUUGGCUUAGAAGCAGCCAUCAUUUAAAGAAAGCGUAAUAGCUCACUGGUCGAGUCGGCCUGCGCGGAAGAUGUAACGGGCUAAACCAUGCACCGAAGCUGCGGCAGCGACGCUUAUGCGUUGUUGGGUAGGGAGCGUUCUGUAAGCCUGUGAAGGUGGCCUGUGAGGGUUGCUGGAGGUAUCAGAAGUGCGAAUGCUGACAUAAGUAACGAUAAAGCGGGUGAAAAGCCCGCUCGCCGGAAGACCAAGGGUUCCUGUCCAACGUUAAUCGGGGCAGGGUGAGUCGACCCUAAGGCGAGGCCGAAAGGCGUAGUCGAUGGGAAACGGGUUAAUAUUCCCGUACUUGGUGUUACUGCGAAGGGGGGACGGAGAAGGCUAUGUUGGCCGGGCGACGGUUGUCCCGGUUUAAGCGUGUAGGUGUGUGUUCCAGGUAAAUCCGGUUCACUUUAACACUGAGGCGUGACGACGAGGCACUACGGUGCUGAAGCAACAAAUGCCCUGCUUCCAGGAAAAGCCUCUAAGCAUCAGGUAACACGAAAUCGUACCCCAAACCGACACAGGUGGUCAGGUAGAGAAUACCAAGGCGCUUGAGAGAACUCGGGUGAAGGAACUAGGCAAAAUGGUGCCGUAACUUCGGGAGAAGGCACGCUGACACGUAGGUGAAGUGAUUUACUCAUGGAGCUGAAGUCAGUCGAAGAUACCAGCUGGCUGCAACUGUUUAUUAAAAACACAGCACUGUGCAAACACGAAAGUGGACGUAUACGGUGUGACGCCUGCCCGGUGCCGGAAGGUUAAUUGAUGGGGUCAGCGCAAGCGAAGCUCCUGAUCGAAGCCCCGGUAAACGGCGGCCGUAACUAUAACGGUCCUAAGGUAGCGAAAUUCCUUGUCGGGUAAGUUCCGACCUGCACGAAUGGCGUAAUGAUGGCCAGGCUGUCUCCACCCGAGACUCAGUGAAAUUGAACUCGCUGUGAAGAUGCAGUGUACCCGCGGCAAGACGGAAAGACCCCGUGAACCUUUACUAUAGCUUGACACUGAACAUUGAGCCUUGAUGUGUAGGAUAGGUGGGAGGCUUUGAAGUGUGGACGCCAGUCUGCAUGGAGCCGGCCUUGAAAUACCACCCUUUAAUGUUUGAUGUUCUAACGUGGACCCGUGAUCCGGGUUGCGGACAGUGUCUGGUGGGUAGUUUGACUGGGGCGGUCUCCUCCUAAAGAGUAACGGAGGAGCACGAAGGUUGGCUAAUCCUGGUCGGACAUCAGGAGGUUAGUGCAAUGGCAUAAGCCAGCUUGACUGCGAGCGUGACGGCGCGAGCAGGUGCGAAAGCAGGUCAUAGUGAUCCGGUGGUUCUGAAUGGAAGGGCCAUCGCUCAACGGAUAAAAGGUACUCCGGGGAUAACAGGCUGAUACCGCCCAAGAGUUCAUAUCGACGGCGGUGUUUGGCACCUCGAUGUCGGCUCAUCACAUCCUGGGGCUGAAGUAGGUCCCAAGGGUAUGGCUGUUCGCCAUUUAAAGUGGUACGCGAGCUGGGUUUAGAACGUCGUGAGACAGUUCGGUCCCUAUCUGCCGUGGGCGCUGGAGAACUGAGGGGGGCUGCUCCUAGUACGAGAGGACCGGAGUGGACGCAUCACUGGUGUUCGGGUUGUCAUGCCAAUGGCACUGCCCGGUAGCUAAAUGCGGAAGAGAUAAGUGCUGAAAGCAUCUAAGCACGAAACUUGCCCCGAGAUGAGUUCUCCCUGAGACUUAGAGUCUCCUGAAGGAACGUUGAAGACGACGACGUUGAUAGGCCGGGUGUGUAAGCGCAGCGAUGCGUUGAGCUAACCGGUACUAAUGAACCGUGAGGCUUAACCUUACAACGCCGAAG
rnacentral:rRNA from 1 species